rnacentral:pre_miRNA from 1 species
UUAAGUAGUUGAUACAAAGGCGAAUUUAUUAAAUUUAUCGCAUUGUGUGAGCUACUUAAAU